rnacentral:rRNA from 1 species
GACGAACGCUGGCGGCGUGCUUAACACAUGCAAGUCGAACGGAAAGGCCCUGCUUUUGUGGGUUUCUCGAGUGGCGAACGGGUGAGUAACACGUGAGUAACCUGCCCUUGACUUUGUGAUAACUUCAGGAAACUGGGGCUCAUACCGGAUAGGAGCUCCUGCUGCAUGUUGGUGGUUGGAAAGUUUCGGCGGUUGUGGAUGGACUCGCGGCUUAUCAGCUUGUUGGUGGGGUAGUGGCUUACCAAGGGUUUGACGGGUAGCCUGCCUGGGAGGGUGACCGGGCACAUGGGGACUGAGAGACGGACCAGACGCGUACGGGAGGCAGCAGUGGGGAGUAUUGCACAAUGGGCGGAAGCCUGAGGCAGCAACGCCGCGUGCGGGAUGACGGCCUUCGGGGUGUAAACCGAUUUCGCAGGUGACGAAGCGGGAGUGACGGUAAUGGGUAAAGAAGCACCGGCUAACUACGUG